GUGGGGAAUAUUGCACAAUGGGCGAAAGCCUGAUGCAGCAACGCCGCGUGAGGGACGACGGCCUUCGGGUUGUAAACCUCUUUUAGUAGGGAAGAAGCGAAAGUGACGGUACCUACAGAAAAAGCACCGGCUAACUACGUGCCAGCAGCCGCGGUAAUACGUAGGGUGCAAGCGUUAUCCGGAAUUAUUGGGCGUAAAGAGCUCGUAGGCGGUCUGUCGCGUCUGCUGUGAAAACUGGAGGCUCAACCUCCAGCCUGCAGUGGGUACGGGCAGACUAGAGUGCGGUAGGGGAGAUUGGAAUUCCUGGUGUAGCGGUGGAAUGCGCAGAUAUCAGGAGGAACACCGAUGGCGAAGGCAGAUCUCUGGGCCGUAACUGACGCUGAGGAGCGAAAGCGUGGGGAGCGAACAGGAUUAGAAACCCGUGUAGUCC
rnacentral:rRNA from 1 species